rnacentral:rRNA from 1 species
AUUGAACGCUGGCGGCAGGCCUAACACAUGCAAGUCGAACGGUAACAGGAAGAAGCUUGCUUCUUUGCUGACGAGUGGCGGACGGGUGAGUAAUGUCUGGGAAACUGCCUGAUGGAGGGGGAUAACUACUGGAAACGGUAGCUAAUACCGCAUAACGUCGCAAGACCAAAGAGGGGGACCUUCGGGCCUCUUGCCAUCGGAUGUGCCCAGAUGGGAUUAGCUAGUAGGUGGGGUAACGGCUCACCUAGGCGACGAUCCCUAGCUGGUCUGAGAGGAUGACCAGCCACACUGGAAGUGAGACACGGUCGAGACACCUGCGGGAGGCAGCAGUGGGGAAUAUUGCGGAAGGGGGGCGAGCCUGAUGCAGCAAUGCGGGGGGUAGGAAGAAGGCCUUCGGGUUGGAAAGUACUUUCAGCGGGGAGGAAGGAAGGAUAGUUAAUACCGUUUCUCAUUGACGGUACCCGCAGAAGAAGCACCGGCUAACUCCGUG